AUUGAACGCUGGCGGCAGGCCUAACACAUGCAAGUCGAGCGAGCGGCGGACGGGUGAGUAAUGUAUGGGGAUCUGCCCGAUAGAGGGGGAUAACUACUGAAAACGUUGGCUAAUACCGCCUACUCUCGGAUGACCCCAUUUGGGAUUUGCUAGUAGGGGGGGUAAAGGCUCACCUAGGCGACGAUCUCUAGCUGGUGUGAGAGGAUGAUCAGCCACACUGGGACUGAGACACGGCCCAGACUCCUACGGGAGGCAGCAGUGGGGAAUAUUGCACAAUGGGCGCAAGCCUGAUGCAGCCAUGCCGCGUGUAUGAAGAAGGCCUUAGGGUUGUAAAGUACUUUCAGCGGGGAGGCGUUACCCGCAGAAGAAGCACCGGCUAACUCCGUGCCAGCAGCCGCGGUAAUAC
rnacentral:rRNA from 1 species